UUUGACUCCAAACGAUUUCGUUUAUAGCGUGAAAUGGUUAUAAGAAAUUUUUCAUUAAUUGUUUACGUACUUUGUUUGGUAAAAUAAGACGUUUCAUUUAGAUAAUUAUGUAGUUGAAGAAGCGUGUUAAUUAAGAGAUGUUAAUUCGUUUUGCUCAGCCGUCUAAGAUUGCUUUAGCAGUCUACAAGAUAUAGCUAUGAGAUGGUGAAGAAAAAUGAUGCUCAUGUACUACUGUAUGUAGGUAUUCCCAACAAUUUGUUCAUUAUUCUUUUUGAUUUAAUGUACAGCAUUUAAUUAAGAUAUUAUGCUGGAUAAUUUGUUAAUAAAUUAUUUAUUAGUUUA
rnacentral:lncRNA from 1 species